UGUGUGUGUGUGUGUGUGUGUGUGUGUGUGUGUGUGUGUGUGUGUGUGUGUGUGUGUGUGUGUGUGUGGUGGAAAUAUCUGCAUCAUCCAGCAAUCGGACUCCCUCCCCAAAAAGUGAUUGGUGUUUGUAUAUGAAUAUUACAUAUUAUUGUUGUCAUCUUACUUCCAUUAACCCGGUGAGUCCCACCGAAACACCGACACGUUAUGGACCGCUUUUAAACACGAUGUGCUUGAGCUCAGACUUCUUGGUUGCAUAAUUUAUUCUGCAUCCUUAGAUUCUAAUUAUUAGUCUGUGUGAUUUAAUGGGGGCUGAGCAAGAGUGGUGUUUGUGAAACAAGGCCAGAUCCCGGAGGGGGGGACGGGUCUUUUAUACAAAAGCAUCUGUUUUGCUCUAUGAUGCCUGCACCUCUACUAUGGGCUCCCAGCUCACUGCCCCCUGGUGAGAGUCGUUAGAAGGUAAGAGGUUGAGAGUCGUUACAAGGUAAGAGGUUGAGAGUCGUUAGAAGGUAAGAGUCGUUAGAAGGUAAGAGGUUGAGAGUCGUUAGAAGGUAAGAGUCGUUAGAAGGUAAGAGGUUGAGAGUCGUUAG
rnacentral:lncRNA from 1 species